rnacentral:lncRNA from 1 species
UAUCUAUAAAAGCACAGCACAAAACAAGUAAUUAAAUGCCAAGUUCUACUGUAUAAAGAAGCAAAAAAGAAAAAAAAUAUCCUGACAGAGUUCUAUGGAUCACACCCUGUUCCAUUCAGGCGUACAGCUAGACUUAUCCAGACUGUCAGAAUGGGCUCAAGUAUGUAUGUGUAAUCGAUCUGUCCUCCCAGCUUCUCGCUUCAGCUUGUGCCAAUCAGAGCAGCGCUGGACAGACUCUGGUUUUUGGGCUCUGUAUUACUGCCUGUCUUUCACUCUGAGCAGUGUGUGACACACACAGCAAUUUAAAUCAAGCCUCUGCUGUAAUUACUGCGGCUUUUUCCAGCUCGCUAACCUCAGUUUAGCUCCUCUAAUAGUGUAUUAUUGUGAUAUUCUGUCCAAACUGCCAGAGCUCAGACACAAACACUUCUACUGUCGUCCGUGUUGUAGUUACCCUAGAGCCCAGCACACACACACACACACACACACAUACACAUACACACAUACACAUACACGCAACGUCUGUGCCUGUGCAGGAAAGGGACUGAUGCUUUCAAUAACCUCAGUGGAGUAAGAGUUUUUUAUUUGGUUAUCAUUUUCCCAUUUCCACAGAGAUGCAGACUACUGAAGCAUCGAGACACUGUAAAUUUACACUCCUUCUGAUGCCAUGGUAGAUGCUGCAGCACUGACAGGCCUAUAAACCAAACAGGGAAUCAUCACACUUUUUUAAAGGAUAAGAAGAAGAGAGACUCUACUUAGGAGUUCUACAGUUUUAUAAGGUGUUGUCAUGCCUUUCCUCCUGAGCUUAGUGCAGGUUAUCCUGCUGUCAGUGCUUUUCAUCCAGUACACGGCCGCGUUUCCAGCUGUGGGCAGGGAUGUGGAGGAUGAUGACAGCCUUAUAAGCAUGGACAGUCACUCCCACAGAAGAUGUUUGUUUCCAAGAGACAGCCUAGAUGAAGAGGGCCUUGCUGUAGAAGACAGAGGGAACAGGAGGUCUGAGCUGCAGAUCAGACAGCUGGGUGACCUGGAGUUCACCAACCGGUACGCUGAGCUGCUAAAAUCUAAAGCCAAGCUCUCCCACCUCUGUUCAUUCCUCCGCCGCAUGCAGAACAGCAAAAAGAGUGGCCUCACUGCAGACACAGAGCGAGUGAACACACUGAUGAAGCAAUAUAUGUGUGCCAACGUGUACCAGUGACACACCCAACCCAUCUGUAUCCAGCAAUACAAUGCAUCAUGUGAAGACUGAACACAAUAAAACAAUUAUUCUGGAAGACCGAUGAAGAUUU